GCCAGCAUUCAGUUGGGCACUCUAAGGUGACUGCCGGCUAAAAGUCGGAGGAAGUGGGGAUGACGUCAAAUCAUCAUGCCCUUAUGACCUGGGCUACACACGUGCUACAAUGGGCGGUACAAAGGGUCGCGAACCCGCGAGGGGGAGCCGAAUCCCAAAAAGCCGACUCUCAGUUCGGAUUGCAGGCUGCAACUCGCCUGCAUGAAGCCGGAAUCGCUAGUAAUCGCGGAUCAGCAUGCCGCGGUGAAUACGUUCCCGGGCCUU
rnacentral:rRNA from 1 species